rnacentral:rRNA from 1 species
ACGAUUGAAACUUUUGCGUCUCAUGGGUGCCUCUGGGCUUUGAGUUUCUUUCUUUUGCUUGUUCCGUUAUUGGACUUGCUUUAGUCUGGUUGCUCUUCGUCAAGUUGAUCCCAUGGGUUUGGUCAGCAUCAGCAGGAGGUGUGACUAUUUCCCCUAAGAAAGGUAGGCCUCUCGCGGGCUGUUAUAGUCUUGGGUUUUUUGUUUACCCUCCUGCUGAGGUGUGUUUUUGCGCGUUCGAUGGCUCCACUUUUUCAAGUACCCUCGUUCCGCGAUGCUGUCCCUAACGGUUUCAACCGACCCGUCUUGAAACACGGACCAAGGAGUCUAACAUAUGUGCGAGUAUGCGGGUUGAAACCCUGUAUGCGCAAUGAAAGUGAGAGUAGGCAUUGGUUUGCUCUGCAUUCCUUGCCCCUACGACCGACCAUGAUCUUUGUGAGAGGUUUGAGUUGUAGCACAUCUGUUAGGACCCGAAAGAUGGUGAACUAUGCCUGAGUAGGGUGAAGUCAGGCGAAAGCCUGAUGGAAGCUCGUAGCGAUACUGACGUGCAAAUCGUUCGUCAAACUUGGGUAUAGGGGCCAAAGACUAAUCG